CAAGUCGAACGGCAGCGCGGGGCAACCUGGCGGCGAGUGGCGAACGGGUGAGUAAUACAUCGGAACGUACCCAGAAGUGGGGGAUAACGCUAUUCGAANNUUACNCUAAUACCGCAUACGUUCUACGGAAGAAAGUGGGGGACCGCAAGGCCUCAUGCUUUUGGAGCGGCCGAUGUCUGAUUAGCUAGUUGGUGAGGUAAAGGCUCACCAAGGCGACGAUCAGUAGCUGGUCUGAGAGGACGACCAGCCACACUGGGACUGAGACACGGCCCAGACUCCUACGGGAGGCAGCAGUGGGGAAUUUUGGACAAUGGGCGCAAGCCUGAUCCAGCAAUGCCGCGUGAGUGAAGAAGGCCUUCGGGUUGUAAAGCUCUUUUGUCAGGGAAGAAACGGCCGGGGAUAAUACCUCUGGCUAAUGACGGUACCUGAAGAAUAAGCACCGGCUAACUACGUGCCAGCAGCCGCGGUAAUACGUAGGGUGCAAGCGUUAAUCGGAAUUACUGGGCGUAAAGCGUGCGCAGGCUGUUUUGUAAGUCUGACGUGAAAUCCCCGGGCUCAACCUGGGAAUUGCGUUGGA
rnacentral:rRNA from 1 species